GGUGAACCGAUUGCCCUUAGCAGGCUUCUGGCCUCUCUGCGACCCUGAUCAGGAUAAGCAGGUUGAAGACGGAUGGAUUGAUGGAGGGAUAGAUGGAUGAGUGGACAGACAGAUGUGUCUAAUUGCACUGGCAUCCUGUCCGGAGUGUACCCCUGCAUGAUGGCCUGUGCAUCCUGGGACUCCAGAUGGAUGGAUGGAUUGUGGUUAGAAAUUGUACUGCGGUACAUGACUUAAAGCAUUUCCUCACAUGGAAGUCAUGGAAUGGGAAGAGGGGGACGGAGCCAUGAUGUAGGAGCACCGCACGGUCAUCUUAAGUGCUGCCUCUGAUCUCCGCGAACAUGAGAGGCAGGGGUGUACCGCCUCUGCAUCUUAACAAUGCCUGGGAACAAGAACGGCCUUCCUUUGGCUAUGCGUCGAGGGGUGAAAUCAAUAGCCGCAUAUGUAAGUAAGGCAGCCUAGCGAACUGGAAGGGCGAUAAACCCGUGGGCCCAAGGUGUGCAGAAGUGGACGUGUAA